rnacentral:rRNA from 1 species
GAGUUUGAUUCUGGCUCAGAACGAACGCUAGCGGCGCGUUUUAAGCAUGCAAGUCGAACGGGGAUAUUAGGAGCAAUUCUAUUAUUCCAGUGGCAAACGGGUGAGUAACACGUGGAUAAUCUGCCCUCAAGACCUGGAUAGCCCGCAGAAAUGCGGAUUAAUACGGGAUGUGGUACCGUAUCAUGAGGAUAUGGGGAUUAAAGGUAGGGACCGCAAGGCCUGCCGCUUGGGGAGGAGUCCGCGGCCCAUUAGCUUGUUGGUGGGGUAAAGGCCUACCAAGGCGACGAUGGGUAGCCGGCCUGAGAGGGUGAGCGGCCACAUUGGGACUGAGACACGGCCCAGACUCCUACGGGAGGCAGCAGCUAAGAAUCUUCCGCAAUGGGCGAAAGCCUGACGGAGCGACGCCGCGUGGACGAAGAAGGUCUUCGGAUUGUAAAGUCAUUUCGGGGAGGAAGAAUAAGCGCAGAGGAACAGGCUGCGUGAUGA